UUUACAAUAUUUUUAUGGGACGUAUCAAGCUAAAAAUUAUGUGACGGAUGCCGAAAAUUACGUGACGCUUAAUGCUAAUGAGAGGUUGAGCCGGGGCCAUAAGGCCCCGGUGAUACCUAGUCGUUUAUCAUGAAAAAUUGAAUUGCACCGUAACUUACUGAUGCAGCUCCACUGAGCUAGAGUCCGACCCGGUACUCUAGUGAGAAUGUUUUCGAUUACCAAUUCCUCCGGAAGAGAUGCAGCAUGAUCAGCAUCGAUUCUUUGAGACUUUUGCUAUUGUUCUUCCUCAAAGUUCUCAUCUUUUUCGACAUCAUCACUUAUAACUUAGAGAUUGAAAUAAAAAUCUGAUCUUUAUAAAUAAAUCAGAGGAUGAAGGAAGAAUUUUGGUUGGGUAUAUAAUUUAAUGGUUCUAGUUAGGUUAAGAACAAAGAACGGCUAGGAUUUUCUCUCAAAAUUUGACGAGAGCGAUUCUGCAUCGACUCUUCUCCCGAUAAGCUAACCUGGAUUCUGGUGUAGAAGCGUAGAACAAUGGGUAUUUAUAGAGACGAUUAAAAACAGAGAUCAAAUAAAGAAACCUAUUUCCAAAUACUGAAAACAGAAACUAAUUCCUAAAAUUAGUAGACUCUGGAAGAAGAAAGUGAAGAAAUUUCUCAAGUUUGUUGGUAUCUCAAGAACAAGAAAAAGUUCACUGUGUGUACGACUUCUUCGAUUGGUGACAAUAUUUAAGCAUGUUGAUCAGGAACAUGUGAAAGUGGGAAGCAACCGUACAAACCUAAUAGCAUGCAUGCUGAAAGAGCGAAAGACCAUCACCCUAACUGAACUGGAUCGUAGUGACUUCUAUAACACAUUGAGUGCAAGCCGAAAAGACACCACUGGAACAAAUUUUACUGUGCUGGAAAGCUUGAAGUGUACGACCCGAGAAAUGUUUACCACCAGCUUAAUGUUCAGAACACAAAAACUCCCUAUGAUCUACUCGGGUACCCGUUGAUUGGCCAUCAUCAUCAACCUGUUACAGAGCAAGAGUCGACUCUCAUGAGGUCGAGGUGAUUACUAUUUCAGGUAGAGAUGACUCAGAGUGAUGUAGUGUUGAUACCUAGCAAUGCAAUGCAUUAUAAUGUUGAGGGUAGCUUCUACUUCAGGUUGUAGAAAUUCAAUAUCAUUUCUUAUUCUACCAAGUUUAACCUGUACAAUUGAGCAUGAGCAGAUUCCUUUGAAGAGCAUGAUGAAACAAAGGCUUAAGCGGUGUUCAGGAUUACAUUUUUUUCCUUACUUUUUAAUGACCAGGUAUUGAGAGUGCUUUGCUUCAGGAGUUCACUGUGAUGGCUGCAACUGCGCAAAUUGUUUUAACACUUUAACAGUGUUGAGAACGAGACCUCUAGGCAAGAGGUGGAAGCUGCUUUAGAGCGUAACCCAAAUUCAUUCCGGCCAAAGAUUACUAGUAGUCCUCGUGGGGUUGUUGACAUUAAGGUAUACUGUCGAACUCAUUGAGUUUUUAGACAAAUGUGUUUAUGGGUUCUUACUUGUUAUGCUGUUAGAUAUUAAUGGCUGGUUUGGAAUCAAAUAUGAUGAAAACUGUGUUGUAGUGACCAUCUUUUGUCCUAAUUAAUUUUGAUGUAUCAUCAUGGUCUCUCCAGCAUUCACUACACGUAUUUCUCAGUCUAUACAGGUGAGUAUGUGUAUAACUAGUAAUGGUUGUGGGUUCUGCUGUAAGUUUUGACCUAAUUCAAGGCAAUAGUGAUGCCAGAGUUGAAGUUAGAUGAAUGUUAGGUUGCUGCUGCAAUGGAGGAAAUUGGUGGUACUUCAGUCUCAGAUGGUGUUGAACUGGUGAUUGAUGUUGCUGCAGUGGGAGGUUGUGGUGUCUUACAAGAGCUGAUGUGACUGAAAUUAGUCUUGAACUGAUAUUGCAGAUGCAGUAUUGGUGUGUGGUUCAGGUGGUAAUAGAAUGCAAGCAGCUUGUUGCAGGUAGUGAUGUUAGAAGUUUGAGCUGAAAUUGCUAGGUUAGAUGAAUGGCUGUCUGCUUGAUUAAUUGCAGUGUAGAAGAUGAUGUUGCUGUAGCCAGGGAUGUGUGUGUGCAAGAGGACUUACUCGUGCCAUGGUCAUGCAUUCAAUUUCCUCAAUGGCAAUGGAUUAGUAGAGUGGAGGGAUUAUUCUGCUGCUUUGGGUGUUAAAUGAAGUUUGGUCGAGAUAUGUUGAAGAAACUGAUUUAACUUUGCAGUAGAGUGCUUUUCUUGCAUCUUCUUUCAAACUAUGUUAGAUAAAUAUGGAUCAAAACCAGAUAAAGUAACUGUGACGCUGACCUUUGGUUAUAUUAUUUGGUCAUUCAUGCAUGUCAAAUUAUCUUAAUAGUAGUUACAACUUGCACAAUGAAUCUGUGGUGCAAUGGUAGCACGACUGUCAUUGUGUAUGUGUGUUCGACUCA